AUGAAUAGGAGCAAGAAAAACCAAUGAGACAAAUCUUUUAUGCGCUCAUCAACACAGCGUAUUAUCAUUGCCCUAAUUAUAAUAUAAUCCCAAACUACACACCCUGAAAUGCGAGAUAAAACUCCAGCUUGCUCAGGUAAAAGCUCAAUUAACCAAUGGGAUCACAAAAUGAGGGAAACUUUUAUCGCUUACUAACAAAAUAAACAGAACAAUCAAAAAGUCAAGAUUUUGAUCUUUUCCAAAUUGAUCAAGCUUAAUUGGUUUAAACCCUGAAAAAAGAAAGUCAAGCCAUA
rnacentral:misc_RNA from 1 species